UGUCAAAGUGACGUUUUGAGUGAUCCAUGUCACGUAUAAUUUAUAUUCUCUGAAGAAAGUGUUGAUAAUAAUUGUUUGUAAAAUUGGUUAAAAGUUUUGAAACAGGCAAUGAUAAAAUUGAAACUAUAAGUGUAUUAUAUUACAACGUUGUUUAUAAAUAUUUUAUAACACUAAAUAUCUGAAAAGAAUACCUGUGAGUUAGAGACUUUAAGAGUACCAAUACAAGAAUAUUUUGUUUGAAAAAAUUUGAAAUUCGUGAUAACUUGAAUAGUUUCAAGAGUACAUAAUAAUCAUAUUUCUACUGUAUUUCAUAUCCUGAAAUUAUUAGUCUAAUCGCAGUAUGGAGAUUGAGAAAAAACAAAAUGGGACUACAAAAAUUGUUACAACUGUAGAAGAAAUAGACUAAAAAAUUAUGUCGUCAAAGAAGUCGUGAAUAUCAACGUAAAUAUCGUAAAAAUCAUUAUCGAAGCGAGAUUGAUCUUUUUAGGUUACCUUCAUCAAGUAAUUCAAUUUUGAACUCUCAUGACUAUUCGAUCAAUAAUGUAUCAAUAAUAGAUGAGUUAUCUUAAUUAAAUUUUAAUACGGUAUGAAGAUACAAAUGAAAUAU